rnacentral:rRNA from 1 species
CGGGUGGCAGCAGUCGGGAAUUUUGCGCAAUGGGGGAAACCCUGACGCAGCAAUACCGCGUGUGGGAUGAAGGCCUUCGGGUCGUAAACCACUUUUCUCGGGGACGAUAAUGACGGUACCCGAGGAAUAAGCCACGGCUAACUACGUGCCAGCAGCCGCGGUAAUACGUAGGUGGCAAGCGUUGUCCGGAUUUACUGGGCGUAAAGCGCGCGCAGGCGGUGAAUGAAGUCGAAAGUGAAAGCCCCGGGCUCAACUCGGGAACAGCUUUCGAAACCAGUUCACUUGAAGGUGGAAGAGGGAAGUGGAAUUCCGAGUGUAGCGGUGGAAUGCGCAGAUAUUCGGAGGAACACCAGAGGCGAAGGCGACUUCCUGGUCCAAUCUUGACGCUGAGGCGCGAAAGCUAGGGGAGCAAACAGGAUUAGAUACCCCGGU